rnacentral:ncRNA from 1 species
UGCUUAUGGAGAAAGGCGGAGGGAUUAGACCCUGCGAUGUCUUAGCAACCUGUGCUUACAAGGUGCUACAUUCUACUUAACCAACAACAAAAACAGGUUAGGACAGAUAAGCG